CAGAGGGGAAGUGGAUUACAAAUGACACAAUCUUUCACCAUUAUACAUGGAGAUAGUUCCAGUGAAGAUGAUCAUGAAUAAAUUCGCCAUACGCAAAUCUAUUAUACAUACAUUUUACAUUCUUGAAUAUCUAAAGGAUUCUUCAACAAGCAAGGACAUUAAAGCCCAUUUAGUAAUAAGGAAAUAUGUGAAAUUAACCUAAGUAGUUAAAGUAGAAGUUAUACUUCAGGCUUCACCUUUACAUCUCCAUUUGGCAAUAGACUUUGUGCUUGAGCCAAACGUUUUGCCUCAGCUGCAGAAGCUGCACGAAUCUCCCUAUAAGCUUCCACUUCCUCGGGGAAAGCCUGUUCAAGGUCCUCCAGAAGAUGUCCUCGCAAACCCUUGAAUGCAUCAGUU
rnacentral:misc_RNA from 1 species